rnacentral:misc_RNA from 1 species
GGAACACCUCUCCAUUCAAAGUAUUGAUGGACACUACUUUCAACUCAAGGAUCACUCGCAGCCCUUUGAAAUAUAUCCGUUGUUGUCAUUGGUCACUCAUCUAUCCUAUCAGCUAAUGUUUUUCUAUUCUAUCCUUCUUUUUUCUUUUUCUAAAUUUUUUGUUUCAGAUUAUAUUUGGAUGAAUUGGAUGAACUCAAGCUAGGAUUACUGCAUCUUUUGAUUUUC